rnacentral:tRNA from 1 species
AGGGUGUAGCUCAGGGGUAGAGCCCAUGCUUGGCAUGCACGAGAUCCUGGGUUCAAUCCCCAGUGCUUCUG